rnacentral:lncRNA from 1 species
AUCAUAAAAUAAGAUUAUAACUGCAAUUUCGAAUUCAAAUUACACAUGGGUGCAUGCAGAAAAUGUAUUUGGCAUUAUUAGAAUCUACACAAAUAAGAAGCGCAUGGAAGGAUUACAAAAUUACCCUGCACCUACGUGAGCUUAACUUUUUUUUUUUUUGCUUUAACGGGUUCUUCAGACAACGCGUGUCCGAAUACACCCAAGAAAAUCAAAAUACACAAUCUCACGUAGUGCCAACGGCAUCUCACUCUCUCCUGCCCAUAGGGCGUAUCCUGAAUGGUGGGCCGCGUAUGCAGCCACCCAGUCAGCCGCCCCGUUGGCCUCUCUGAAUACAUGCUUGGCCUCAAAGGCCAUGCCAUCCCUCACCAUCAUCCCAAUGUCCCGGAUUAGAGGGUGGUCAGUGCUCUCACCACUCGGUCUCCGCCGAAUCCAUCCAAUAACCGUAGCCGAAUCGCCCUCCAAGAUGAUCGAGCUAGCCCGCAGUACCUGCCGCGCAUGGCGAACACCUGCCCAGGCAGCUCGCAACUCCGCCCCUGGAACUGAUAUGUCGAACAACCGGCAACCGCCCGCUGCCACUACCCUGGAGUGAGGGUCCCAUAUGACGAAGCCUGCCCCGCCUCGUGUACCUCCAUCCAACACCGACCCGUCAAAGUUGACAUUGAG